GUGGGAUCUGGUUAACUCCUGCCCGAGACACCAUGAAGCUCCUGUUGACCUUUGGGUUCCUGCUCUCUGUCCUGCCGGGUGCCCUCUGCCAGGUGCAACUCGUGACAUCAGGCCCAGGGGCAUUGAAGCCUGGAGAGACCCUCACCCUGACCUGCACCGUGACUGGUGAUUUGGACAAGAUCUUCUCCAGUGGCUGUUGCUGGUGGGGCUGGGUCCGGCAGAGCCCUGCCAAAGGCCUGGAGUGGUUGGGGGAUUUAAAUAAUGGUGGGAGCGCGUACUAUCCCCCAUCCAUGCAAAGCAGGCUCUCAGUCACAGUGGAUUCCUCCAAGAACUGGUACUCCCUGCAGCUGCACUCCUUGACAGCCACCGACACUGCCAUGUAUUACUGUGGCCGACGCACAGUGCCACAGAGCAGGGCAGGGGCUGUGCAAAAAGGGGAAGCAGGCUGA